UACGUAGGUGGCAAGCGUUGUCCGGAUUUACUGGGCGUAAAGAGCGCGCAGGCGGUCGGAUAAGUCGAAUGUGAAAGCCCCCGGCUCAACUGGGGAGGGUCAUUCGAUACUGUUCGACUCGAAGGCAGGAGAGGGAAGUGGAAUUCCCGGUGUAGUGGUGAAAUGCGUAGAUAUCGGGAGGAACACCAGUGGCGAAGGCGACUUCCUGGCCUGUUCUUGACGCUGAGGCACGAAGGUCAGGGGAGCAAACGGG
rnacentral:rRNA from 1 species